GAUGAAGAACGCAGUGAAACGCGAUAUGUAAUGUGAAUUGCAGAAUUCAGUGAAUCAUCGAAUCUUUGAACGCACAUGGCGCCUUCCAGUAUCCUGGGAGGCAUGCCUGUCCGAGCGUCGUUUCAACCCUCGAGCCCCCGUGGCCCGGCGUUGGGGAUCUGCCCAGGCAGUCCCCGAAAACCAGUGGCGGACCCGUUACAGGCCCUUCCCUUGCGUAGUAGCAUUCGCCUCGCAUCGGGAGCCGGCGGGCUUCCAGCCUCUAAACCCCCAUCAAGUCCGCCCCGGCGGCACCAAGGUUGACCUCGGAUCAGGUAGGAAUACCCGCUGAACUUAAGCAUAUCAAUAAGCGGAGGA
rnacentral:misc_RNA from 1 species